UACGAAGGGGGCUAGCGUUGCUCGGAAUCACUGGGCGUAAAGCGCACGUAGGCGGAUUGCUAAGUCAGGGGUGAAAUCCUGGAGCUCAACUCCAGAACUGCCCUUGAUACUGGCGGUCUCGAGUCCGGGAGAGGUGAGUGGAACUGCGAGUGUAGAGGUGAAAUUCGUAGAUAUUCGCAAGAACACCAGUGGCGAAGGCGGGUCUCUGGGCAUCUCCUGACGCUGAGGCGCGAAAGCGUGGGGAGCAAACGGG
rnacentral:rRNA from 1 species